CCCAGGCCCUCGAACCUCCCCACGCCUCAACCCCUCUCCAUCGCUCUCCACGCCGGUGGCUCUCAGGCCCUCGCCGCGUACGCGUGCUCCCCGGCCGGUGCCUCUCCUGCACUGCCCCAAACCGGCAAGCCGAACAUCACGCACCAAUCCGUCUGCACCUCGUCGCUCGCGGCUAACACCGCUGGAGGCGGAGGCGCUACUGCGGUGCUGCCCCCGCGCGAUUCCACGACGAGGACGCCACCUGCGAACCGCUGCUACGGAUCCUCACGCUUGCCAUCACCAGUCAUAUGGUCUUGUCUCCGGUCGUCAAGACACCCACCCUCCUUGGCUGCUGCUGCUGCUGCCGGCGGCACCAUUGUCCUUCAUCUCGAUCCGGUCCCGGCGAGGAACUCAUAGCCGCCGACCACUCGAAGGAACUAACACCACCUCCAUCAAGGAAAACAAUGACCAAUGUGAUUAGAAAUGUGUGCUUGCUUCUUCAUGAAGAGCCAGAAAAGCCUCACCAAAGAGAAGUAUAGACGUUGAUGCAAAUUUAUGAAUCACUGUCACCAACAGAUCCACACGUUUGGUCUGCAGCUUCUAUCAACUGCACCUUCUAUCAUGUCCGAUUGAUGAUUCCUUGUAGUGGGAGGGGAGGAUAUUUGAUCUGAGUAUGCGAGAGAGGAGGAGCAAGACGGAAUU